rnacentral:rRNA from 1 species
CCUACGGGCGGCAGCAGUGAGGAAUAUUGGUCAAUGGGCGCGAGCCUGAACCAGCCAAGUAGCGUGAAGGAUGACUGCCCUACGGGUUGUAAACUUCUUUUAUCAAGGAGUAAAGUGAGGCACGUGUGCCUUGUUAUAUGUACUUUAUGAAUAAGGAUCGGCUAACUCCGUGCCAGCAGCCGCGGUAAUACGGAGGAUCCGAGCGUUAGCCGGAUUUAUUGGGUUUAAGGGGAGCGUAGAUGGGUUGUUAAGUCAGUGGUGAAAGUUUGCGGCUCAACCGUAAAAUUGCAAUUGAUACUGGCAGCCUUGAGUACAGUUGAGGUAGGCGGAAUUCGUGGUGUAGCGGUGAAAUGCUUAGAUAUCACGAAGAACUCCGAUUGCGAAGGCAGCUUACUAAACUGCCACUGACAUUGAUGCUCGAAAGUGUGGGUAUCAAACAGGAUUAGAUACCCUAUAGUC